rnacentral:sRNA from 1 species
GAUCACCAUGACAGAUAUAAUAACAUAAUAGUAACAGAAAAGUUUGAAAAAUGCAAAUUACCAAAAUGUGAGCUCAUGGUUUUGGAGAAAAUGGUUCCAAUAGACUCACCAGAUGCAGGGUUGCCACAAAUCUUCAAUUUGUAAAAAACGCAAUAUCUGUGAACCACAGUAAAGUUGAAGUGCAACAAAAUUAGGUAUGCCUGUAUGGAAACGCAGAGCUCACACCCUUCUGAUGAACAGACAGAAGUGUCAGAUCCUUUUCUAUGCUAGCAAAGGAUUUUAAGGGUUUGGAAUUCUCUUAAAAGUGUAAAGCUCUUAAGAGGGCGUUACUUGGCAAAGCAGUGCUUUAUCUCAUUCUCUUGUUUGCCUGUUCAAACUUCCCACCCAUUGUAGACCCACUUGCUGUGUUAUUGCAGGUUAAGCCCCCAAGACCCUUUUCUCUCACCUUUUCUGUUCACUUCCCAUCCCCUUUCCUUUUCAGGUCAUCCUCCAUGCCCUUCUGAUGUCCACACGUCUCUUCAUUUUCUUCUCAGGCCUCCUCUUUCUCUCACCAUCUAAGUUAUUGAAAUUCUUGAAAUCCUAAGCAGGCCUGGCACUGAGAGGUAAGCACCUGAGAGUGUCAGUCUUCCCUAGAUAAAUGGAACUGUGUGCAGAUCUGGGACUGCUGGAAGGGUGUGAGGUAGGGAUUUAAGGAUGGCGCAAGUAGGGUGGGGCUAAAAAAGACCUUGUCUUCUUUAUAUAGGAGCAUCGAGAUUAAAGGGUGUGAGGUAGGGGUUUAAGGAUGGCGCAAGUCAGGUGGGGCUAAAAAAGACCUUGUCUUCUUUAUAUAGGAGCAUCGAGAUUAAACACUGAAUUCAGCAGUGUUCAAUUCAUUUCUUAUUUUCCACUGUAUUUCAUUUCAACCCAUCCUCUAUAUUUUGUGAGCCUAAAGCCUUUAGAUAUGUGUAGAGGAAGGUGUGAUACAGCUUUCAACUUCUUGAAAUUUGCCCAAGAAAUACUUUGUAUCAUGAGGUCUGCAGUUAUUUAUACAAAUCCCUGAAAAUAUUUCAUGGCAAAUCUGUAGCACCCAGUUGAGAUGAGACCAAACUGGAAAAAACUCUGUGGCUGUGGUUAUUGUCAGUUCUGUAAGAUGAAGAUGGGACCAGUGACAAGAAUGUGCACUAUUUACUGAGCACUCACCUGCACAGGGCCAUGUGCUUUUCAGACAUUGCCUCUUUCAGUCUUGAGCACAAUGCCAGUUGUGCCAUCCCCUGACAUAUAGAUGAGAUGAAGAUCCAGACAUAACCAGCAAGGGCAGGGCUGGGAUGCGAUCCAUGUGUGCCUGGUUCCCAGGGUUCGCAUGUUUGCAGUGUUCUCUCCAUAACGGUUUGCCUUAAUGAAGAGAGGAUUCAGGAUGUCCAGUUUCAGCCUCACUGGCUGGGCUGGAAUCUUCCAUUGACCCUUCCACUCUACAUUCCUCCCUGGCCUGGGAUGCUCACUCGAGUGGGCUUCUUGCUGGGCUUGGCCAGUGGGGGUUGCCAUCAGGAGACAACAGGGCAUCUGCUUCUCCAGGGCAUCCCCCAGGGCACAGUGCUUUGUGACUCAAGGGUCUGCCCCUCAUGGUUUCCCUAAACCUCACUCCUCUCUUUGUAAACAGCCCCUUUAUAAAUUACACACCUUGAGGGUGUCAUCUGCUUUCUGUCAGGAGCAGGACUGACUCACUAGCAUCACUCCUAAAUAAUGUGAACUUGUUUUGAUUUUUUGUUUGAGGCAGAGUCUCUCACAGUGUUCCUAGGCUGGAGUGCAGUGGCAUGGUCUUGGCUCAUUCUGGGCUCAAGCAAUCCUUUCACCUUAGCCAUCUCAGUAGCUGGGACUAUAGGCAUGCGCCACCAUGCUCGGCUAAUUUUUAAAAUAUUUGUAGAGAUGGGGUCUUGCUAUGUUGCGAGGCUGGUCUUGAACUCCAGGGCUCAAGUGAUCCUUCUGCCUCGGCUUCCUAAAGUGUUGGGAUUACAGGUAUGAGCCACUGCACCUGCCCAAUGAUGUGAACUUUUAGUAAGUCACUUCAGUUAUCUGGGCCCAACUUGCUUUACCUGUCAGGCAGGGACCAUGGUGCCUGGUCUCCCAGAUUGUGAAUGUCAAAGAAAACAGGUAGAGAGGCACUUUGGAAGAUAAACACUCCUCAGAAUGGGAGCUAGCAGUGUAAUUCCACAAGGCACAGAAUGGGCAUUCACUGCAUAGCCUGACUGGAAGUGGAGCAUCCUUUGUGAGAAAAGGAAACCUCUGAGACAGUGAGUAUGUUUCCAUUCUGAAAAGCUUGAUGCAAUCAAAAUAGAAGAAAGAGCACCGCUGAAGAGAAUAAGAGAAGAGAUCUUUGUUUUGUUUUUGCUUGUUUCUUUGUGGUAGUGACAGCGUAUUUCAUGUAGGAACCUGUGACAAAGCUCCACAUAAUAAACAUCAGAAAGUCAAGGAUGAUGGUUUUGGCCAAGGAGCAAAUGACACAUGCCACAGCUCUCCUGGCAGGUCCCCUUUUCGAGAUUGUGUCCUCCCGGAUAGGACUCUCAAGCAGCUGCAACAGGCAUCUUCCAGCUGGGAAAGGCCACUUGACCUGUUUUUCUCUUUCAAAAGCCAGGCAGCUGUGAGUCCAGGCUUGUCACUCCUGGGUGCAGGCUCAGGAAUUGAAGGUGGGUCUGCCAAGCCACACACCCUCGUUGAAACACCUCUGCUCUGUGGCCAGGUUUUUCAGCCCCUCCCCACUCCCCAUCAGCAGUGGCUUCUGGAAUUUCCCUGUCUGUAGAAUGAGAAUAGUUACAUCAAAAUUUCUUCCCAAGGAGCUAAUUGGAAUAUUGUAAUACAAAUAUUUGCAGAGAAUUAAUACUGAGAGAUGCUAAAGGAGAAUUAACUCAUGUAAUUACUAAUCAGUGUCUCUUUUCCAGGUACUCUGUAAGGGAGCUGAAACUUCCAGCCUUUCUUUCUAUUCACAAACCCACCUUUACCCGCCCCCAAUGCUGGACUUUGGUUUUUCAUAUUGCUUUUGCAGAACUUUAAAACAUUUGAACCUUUCCCUGAUGAGUUUUUGUCCUGAGGGGCCAGUGCAGUUUUCUUGCCACUUUGUUUUCCUCUCAUAUAACUUUUCCCUGUCAAUAAGGCAUUUAGGCUGAGAGAAAAAGUUAUUGAGCAUGUGCAUCCAAAUUUGAGAUGAUUGUUAUUUCAUUACCUAAUGACUUUAACUUCUUUGAUACUGUGUUUGUCUUAUGAAUAUAAUGGCUUUCUCACUUUAAUGAAAAGUUAUACAAUAAAAUUGAAAAGU